GCAACCUACCUAUCAGAGGGGAAUAACCCGGCGAAAGUCGGACUAAUACCGCAUAAAACAGGGACACCGCAUGGUGAUAUUUGUUAAAGAAAUUCGCUGAUAGAUGGGCAUGCGUUCCAUUAGGUAGUUGGUGAGGUAACGGCUCACCAAGCCGACGAUGGAUAGGGGAACUGAGAGGUUGGUCCCCCACACUGGUACUGAGACACGGACCAGACUCCUACGGGAGGCAGCAGUGAGGAAUAUUGGUCAAUGGGCGAGAGCCUGAACCAGCCAAGUCGCGUGAAAAGGAAGAAGGAUCUAUGGUUCGUAAACUUCUUUUGCAGGGGAAUAAAGUGCAGGACGUGUCCUGUUUUGUAUGUACCCUGAGAAUAAGGAUCGGCUAACUCCGUGCCAGCAGCGGC
rnacentral:rRNA from 1 species